rnacentral:rRNA from 1 species
AGCGAACGCUGGCGGCAUGCUUAACACAUGUAAGUCGCGCGGGUGGUUUCGGCCAUCAGCGGCGGACGGGUGAGUAUCGCGUAGGAAUGUAUCCCGAGGUGGGGGACAACCCUGGGAAACUGGGGCUAAUACCGCAUGGGGCCUGUGGGUCAAAGCCUUAGGGCGCCUUGGGAGCAGCCUGCGUCCGAUUAGGUAGUUGGUGGGGUAAAGGCCUACCAAGCCUGCGAUCGGUAGCUGGUCUGAGAGGACGAUCAGCCACACUGGGACUGAGACACGGCCCAGACUCCUACGGGAGGCAGCAGUGGGGAAUAUUGGACAAUGGGCGCAAGCCUGAUCCAGCAAUGCCGCGUGGGUGAAGAAGGUCUUCGGAUUGUAAAGCCCUUUCGGCGGGGACGAUGAUGACGGUACCCGCAGAAGAAGCCCCGGCUAACUUCGUG